AAGUCGUAACAAGGUUUCCGUAGGUGAACCUGCGGAAGGAUCAUUAAUGUGUUUGAGCUUCGGCUCUUCAUCCAGACGCUGUGCGCCUUCGGGCUGCACGCCGACGGAGCAUAUAUCCACCCCUGUGCACACACACGGUGGCGAGCUGGAUAACGGCUCGCCGCUGAUUUUUACACACGUCUAAAAGUCUUGUAUGUUUUAUUGAGAUACAAAAAACAACUUUCAGCAACGGAUCUCUUGGCUCUCGCAUCGAUGAAGAACGCAGCGAAAUGCGAUAAGUAAUGUGAAUUGCAGAAUUCAGUGAAUCAUCGAAUCUUUGAACGCACCUUGCGCCCCUCGGCCAUUCCUUGGGGCAUGCCUGUUUGAGUAUCAUGAACACCUCAACUCUCACGGUUCGCCGCGAAGAGCUUGGAUCUGGGGGUUUGCCGGCCACGCGGUCUGCUCCCCUCAAAUGAAUCAGCUUGCCAGUGUCUGGCGGCGUCAUGGGUGUGAUAACCAUCUACGCUCACGGCCGUCCGCCGGGUAACCUUUGUCGCCGGAGGUUCGCUGGAGCUUACAAACGUCUCUCCUUGGUGGGGGACACCUUUCGAACGUUCGAUCUCAAAUCAGGUAGGACUACCCGCUGAACUUAA
rnacentral:rRNA from 1 species